UACGUAGGGUGCGAGCGUUGUCCGGAAUUAUUGGGCGUAAAGAGCUCGUAGGCGGUUUGUCGCGUCGGCCGUGAAAACUUGGGGCUUAACCCCAAGCUUGCGGUCGAUACGGGCAGACUUGAGUUCGGCAGGGGAGACUGGAAUUCCUGGUGUAGCGGUGAAAUGCGCAGAUAUCAGGAGGAACACCGGUGGCGAAGGCGGUUCUCUGGGCAUUACCUGACGCUGAGGAGCGAAAGUGUGGGGAGCGAACAGG
rnacentral:rRNA from 1 species